rnacentral:RNase_P_RNA from 1 species
GUGUUUGGGCAAUUGCUGCGUCUCUUUGAAGGCGUAGAGGAAAGUCCAUGCUCGCACGGUCUGAGAUGAUCGUAGUGUUCGUGCCUAGCGAAACAAUAAGCUAGGGUAGCUGUUUUGACGGCUAACGGCAGGGGAAGCACCUAAGUCCUUUUUGGAUAUGGUCCAGUACCCUUGAAAGUGCCACAGUGACGGAGUUCUUUCGGAAACGGAAGAAGUGGAACGAGGUAAACCCCGCGAGCGAGAAACUCAAAUUUGGUAGAGGAACUUCCUGGAUGGAACUUGAACAGAAGGGGAGACAGAUGCAAGGCAUCUGUAGAUAGAUGAUUGCCGCCUUUGUACGAGGGAUUGCUCCCGUUUGCAGUACUUGGAACAGAACAUGGCUUAUAGAA